UACAGAGGUCUCGAGCGUUAGGCGGAAUCACUGGGCUUAAAGCGUGUGUAGGCGGAUCGUUAAGUACCUUGUGAAAUCCCACGGCUUAACCGUGGAACUGCUUGGUAUACUGGCGGUCUUGAGCCAGCUAGGGGCUACCGGAACAAAUGGUGGAGCGGUGAAAUGCGUAGAUAUCAUUUGGAACGCCAAUGGUGAAAACAGGUAGCUGGGGCUGUGCUGACGCUGAGACACGAAGGCCAGGGGAGCAAACGGG
rnacentral:rRNA from 1 species